rnacentral:miRNA from 1 species
UGGCCAAAAAGUUUGUUCGUGUUUUUCCUGCUCUUACGUAAGAUCUUACAGAAAAACCCAAAUGAACUUUUUGGCCA